rnacentral:rRNA from 1 species
CAAUAGCGUAUAUUAAAGUUGUUGCAGUUAAAAAGCUCGUAGUUGGACUUCAAGAAGCUCAGAAAGGAAACUUUAUGACUUCUACCAGUCCUUGACUGUUACUGUGAGAAAAUCAGAGUGCUCAAAGCAGGCAGUUGCCGUGAAUGUAUUAGCAUGGAAUAAUAGAAUAGGACUCGGUUCUAUUUUGUUGGUUUGUUGGGACUGAGUAAUGAUUAAGAGGGACAGUUGGGGGCAUUUGUAUUUCGUCGCUAGAGGUGAAAUUCUUAGAUUGACGAAAGACAAACUGCUGCGAAAGCGUCUGCCAAGGAUGUUUUCAUUGA